AAUUUAGGUAUAAGAUGCUUUGCAAAAGAAGAAUGGCAAAAGACUCUCUCCAAUUCUCCCCUAACUUCAAGUAGAUUUUGUUUCCCUUUACAAAAAAAUUAUCCAGAUCAUGGAAUUGUGCCAAGGUGAUUUAAGAGGUUUUAUUAAAGGUGUCCUGUGAUGUCCAUGCUAACAAAGGAUGGCAACUUUCCCAGCACCUCAG